UACGGAGGAUGCAAGCGUUAUCCGGAUUUAUUGGGUUUAAAGGGUGCGUAGGUGGUUUUAUAAGUCAGUGGUGAAAGUCUGCAGCUUAACUGUAGGAUUGCCAUUGAAACUGUAAGACUUGAGUGUGGUUGAGGUAGGCGGAAUGUGUAGUGUAGCGGUGAAAUGCUUAGAUAUUACACAGAACUCCAAUUGCGAAGGCAGCUUACUAAGCCAUUACUGACACUGAUGCACGAAAGCGUGGGGAU
rnacentral:rRNA from 1 species